ensembl:snRNA U6 U6 spliceosomal RNA
AUGCUUGCUUUGGCAGCACAUACACUAAAUUUGGAAUGAUGCAGAGAAGAAUAACAUGGUCCCUCCACAAGAAUGGCAUGCAAAUUCAUGAAAUGUUUUAUAUUUUU